GAUGAAGAACGUAGCGAAAUGCGAUAAGUAAUGCGAAUUGCAGAAUUCAGUGAGUCAUCGAGUCUUUGAACGCACAUUGCGCCCCCUGGUAUUCCGGGGGGCAUGCCUGUCCGAGCGUCAUUGCUGCCCUCAAGCACGGCUUGUGUGUUGGGCCCCGUCCUCCGAUCCCGGGGGACGGGCCCGAAAGGCAGCGGCGGCACCGCGUCCGGUCCUCGAGCGUAUGGGGCUUUGUCACCCGCUCUGUAGGCCCGGCCGGCGCUUGCCGAUCAACCCAAAUUUUUAUCCAGGUUGACCUCGGAUCAGGUAGGGAUACCCGCUGAACUUAAGCAUAUCAAUAAGCGGAGGA
rnacentral:misc_RNA from 1 species